UUAGAUACCCUACUAUGCCCAGCCGUAACCCAACAAUAAAAUAACCUAUUGUUCGCCAAAUAACUACGAGUGUAAACUUAAAAUUUAAAAGACUUGACGGUAUUUCACAACAACCUAGAGGAGCCUGUCCAAUAACCGAUACUCCACGAUUAACCUCACCCACCCUAGCCACACAGUCUAUAUACCGCCGUCGCCAGCCUACCUUGUGAAAGAAAUAAAGUAAGCUAAACAGAGCCCACUAAUACGACAGGUCGAGGUGUAACAAAUGGGUGGGCAAAGAUGGGCUACAUUUUCUAACACAGAAAACACGAAUAAACUAUGAAACUAGAAACUGAAGGCGGAUUUAGCAGUAUGUCAAGAACAUAAUACCUGACUGAAACUAAUGCAAUGAAAUGCGUACACACCGCCCGUCAUCCCUGUAACCAUAAAAACAAAUCUAUAAUACACCACCACACCCAAAGCAGGGCAAGUCGUAACAAGGU
rnacentral:rRNA from 1 species